rnacentral:rRNA from 1 species
UACGUAGGGGGCAAGCGUUGUCCGGAUUUACUGGGCGUAAAGAGCGUGUAGGCGGCCAGAUAAGUCCGCUGUGAAAACUCGAGGCUCAACUUCGAGCUGUCGGCGGAAACUAUCUGGCUAGAGUCCGGAAGAGGAGAGUGGAAUUCCUGGUGUAGCGGUGAAAUGCGCAGAUAUCAGGAAGAACACCCGUGGCGAAGGCGGCUCUCUGGGACGGUACUGACGCUGAGACGCGAAAGCGUGGGGAGCGAACAGG